UGUGCUUUUAUGCCUUUUAAAAAUAAAUGUUAUUAUUAUAACUGUAAGGCUCAGUUUUUAUUCAAGGCUUAAUUUUUAUAAAACCUUGUAAUGAUUUUCUUUAUCUGUAGUUAUAUCUGUCCAGUUGACAAAGCUAUUCCCAGCUAUCCUUAUAUGAACAUAAGCUCCAUUUAUGGUCUGGGUAAAAACGCCUUAGGGGAGGCCUUUUCCUCUCCUUUGCCCCCCAACACACACAUAUACUUUUAGCAACAUAGAAUGUAGACUCAAUUGAAUUUUACAGUGGUUAAAAAUUCUGUCUGGCAUACCAUGUCUCUUCUCCUAAAGUUAAACUCAUACCUGUAUCCCAACUGAAAUGUCCCCUCUUCUGUGAAGUGUUCUUGACUUUAGGGCAACUUAGUUGAUCUUUUUUCGCUCUGCAGACUUAUUACUUUGGUGUGUCCCCCAUACCUAGAUAGCACACUCUAGUACCCAGAGGAGCCCAUAAAAAUUAUAAAGUACAAAAUACAUAUUUGUGGAGGGAGUGAAUGAAUGACUAUCCAAAAAAGCCUAAACAAGGCAAAGUCUGUCAUCAUUUAAUUGACACAAAUCACUUAUUUUUAUUUUCAUCUUUUACUUCUAUUCUUUACUAAUUAUUUUUUCUCUUCUUUCAGAGUCUUCAAAUGUUGUUGAUUUAGUAGGAAUAUUUGAUUUCUUUUAUCCGAAGUAACUGAAUCGGGAGACCAGAGAAAGGAUAGUACCUCACUUGGUCACAUCCAGGCUUUGGGCACAUGCGUGAUGCCAGUGUUGUAAGGGACUCCUUGGAAUCCAUGGCUUGUGGUUACAAUGUUUCCCUACUUCUCAUUACUCUUCAUCUCUCACGCAAGCCUGUCACAGUAGAAUUUGAGUACUGUGAGAGCAUUUUACUAUGUGAUGUACUGGGAAAAGGGAAUGGGUCCUUUGAGGCUCUCAUUUUCCUCAGUGAGAUUGAUUUAUUUUAAGGAAUUAGCUCAUGUGAUUAUGGAGGCCUGGUAAGUUCAAAAUCUACAGGGGAGGCUGGCAGGCUGGACACCCAGAGAAGAGUUGCAAUUUGAGACCAAAGAGAGCCUACUUGUAUAAUUCCUUCUUGCUCAGGAGAGGUCAGUCUUUUUUUUUUUUUUUUUUUGCUAUUCAGGCCCUCACCUGGUUGGAUGAGGUCCACCGACAUUAUGGAGGGUAAAUCUGCUUUAUUCAAAGUCCAGUGAUUUAAAUGUUAAUCCUGUCCAAAAAUAUACCAUCAUAGAAACAUCCAGAAUAUCUGGACCCUAUAGCCCAGCCAAGUUGACAUGUAAAAUUAACCAUCACUUCUACCAAGGUUGUUUUGAGGGCCAGAUAUGGUAACCCACGAAAGCACAUGCACAGUGCCUAGAAUACGGUAGGAACUUAAGGAAAGUAAUAGAGUAGUGCUGGUUUCUUCCCCACUCUGUCCUAAAACCACACUCUCAUAGUGUUAUCAUUUCAGAUUGAUCCAAAUGCAUGACCCUUGUGGUAAUGCCUCUUCUAGAAAUUUAGUGGUCAGUCAUCUAUACUCAACUAUUCCUAUUCACUGACCAGUGUUUAUGUUAGAAUUCUGCAUCUUCAUGCAGCAUUAAGCUCAUGGCCACUGACUUCUGCAAGGCCUUCACACAGCUCCUUCCUUGCCUGCUGUGAGGUAAUCCCAUCAGUGGGCUGAGCUAUUUUUAUUUGUGUUACAGCUUUACUUUCAGUUCCUACUCCAGGUUCUCCUUUCCCACUCAUGUCACGGUGGCCCUAAUGUCUAGUAAAAUAUUGCUCUUUCCUCCUCUUCUUUUUAGUUUUUGCCCUCUUCUCUUCUUAUUAUUAAUUGGUUCAUCUGUUGAUAGUUUUCCCCUUACGGCCUGGACCACAUGUCACAAAUAUUAUGUGAACUGAUUUCUGUUUUUAAUCAUGGAAUCAAUGCCAGAAGUGGUCUUAGAGAUCAUGUCGUCCAUCCCUUAGAUAUGAUGAAGUAACCUUGAUCUAAAUUAUGGAGAGUCAGGAACUUGAUAGAGAUCGAAUACCAUACAAGUUUGAGAACAAAUUCUGUUUCUCUGAGCAUCUAUUUUUAUAAUCAGCAAGAUGGGGAUAAUUAUAUUAUUCAUCUCACAGAUUUGUUGUGAAAUGAGCUAGUAUGUGUAAAGGGCUUAAAUAGCACAGUUUAUAUCACUUCACUCAAUAAAUGGUAAAUAUUUUUAUUUUA